rnacentral:lncRNA from 1 species
GGCAUGUACCUACCUUCCGCCAUGAAGCUCCCCACACUACAAUCUUGCCUCUCAGUAAAGAAGAGUUCUCCUCAAGGAAAAGAGAUAAUACAACCUGUUGAAUUUUUGUUUAAAUUAAAGAUAAAGAAGAAAAGAGGAGCACAAGAUGAGACAUAUUAACCAGUUUAUUAUAAGCCCAGCAUAUACUACACCUGGAUGACCCUGCCCCCUAACGACAGGCAGGGCAUGCACAGGAAAACCUGCUAUGUCAUCACCACAUCGCCUGCCUCAGUGUGCAUGCGAAGCCGCCUUCGUGAAGCCGCCUUCCCUUUAAAAGGUCCACCCCACCCCCCCCACCCCCCGCUCCUCUUGGGUUGGCUGACAAUCCAACCCCACCAACCCCCUCUUCUUGUAAAUAAACUCCAUGUGGGUUGUUCAUCAGUAGCUUCUUUUCUUUACACCCGCAGCUGCAGAGUAAAAGAAUAACACAAACCUUUGCCAAUUGCUGCCCCUGACCCCACCUCAGGCCUCUGGGGUACCUCUUCCUCUAAUUUUGCCAUUAUAUAAGCUGGUUACCUCCAGAUGGCCUGGCCAAGGUGGAGAAUGGCUCCUGGUUUGUAUAACAAUAGACCUAGGCCCUGGAUGGGCCUACACCUAUUCUGAGGUCUAGUGAAACGUGCCUUGUGCUGGAAGACUGGGGCCCUUGUGGAAUGUCUGAGGGUUUGUGUAUGUGCUUCUAGGAUUAAAGGAAAUACUUGAUAUCAGCUUUAUACAUGAUAAUAGAUGUCUUCUGCUAUCACCCCCACUGUUGGAAAGCUAUUUAAGAGGACGCUUGAAUAAACCGUGGACUCCAACAUGGACUGAGAACCCUCCUGAGAUGACAAGAUGUCUCUGUCUCAUCCUUAACGCAGUUGGGUAGCUAGGAGUUUCCCAAUCCACCCUCCCUCACUCACAGAUG